AUGUAUGUAUGUAUGUAUGUAUGUAUGUGUGUGUAUGUGUGUGUGUGUAUAUAUAUAUACACACAUACACACAUAAUUAUGUAUAUAUACAUAUAUA
ensembl:miRNA Gm23416 predicted gene, 23416